CUGCCUUGGGCCUGUGGAGCCACAUUAAGGGGAAUGAUUCUCCUCCUCAAUCUCCUCCUCCUUCGAAGCGGCAGCCCCGGGUCUCACUGAGCACCACAGGGAAGCCGACCUCACGGAGUGAAGAGAUGGAAUUGGAAGCCCCAGUGCCCUUGAGGAUGAAGGCUGUGGGUCCCGGCAGGAUCUGGAGGCGGAGGCUGAGCUGUCAUUGACACAGAUUCUUGGCGAUCCUCUCCAGGACCCACCCUUGGAAGCCUGAAUCCAUCAGUGUGAGCGUGCCACGAGUGACUCCAUUCUGCUCAAGACAAUUUCCCCACUGUGAAUCAACUGCGCUGCAUCCUGAGAGCCUAGAGAAGCAGCGUGCGGGGCAAGGCUGUAAGGAAUCCACCGAGUGCUGCUGCGCUGUGGGUGUCAUGCUGCAGGAAGGUGCUUGCUUAGCGUGUGAUCUCCAGCACUGCAAUAAAUAAGUAAACAAACAUCGAAACAUUUUUUAAAAAGGAAUUUGUUUAGUGAAUGAAAGCUCUGGUCCGGGCUGGUCUGCAGCAAGUGUCCAUGCAAAACUGGAUGAUGUGCCCUGGGAGCUCACCCGCUACGGGCUAAAGUAUUUAAUACAAUAUUUAAAAAUUCUGCACUGAUGCCCAGAACUCCAUGAAAACCCCACCUCAUGAUGUCAAAUCGACAUGGGCUCUGAGCCUGCCCUAGUCCUGGCAAUGAGUACUAAGCACAGUCCAUGUUGCAUGGAGGCACUGCCAUCCUGAGAUGGACAGGAGGAAACAGGCAGAAAGGCAAGUGAAGGUGCCGGAGACCUGGAAGGUGGCAAGGUUAUCAAUCGGUGCCAACCAAAGCCACUCCCAGCCGAUCUUCAGUAAAAGAAAUGCAUUGAUGGCUUCAGGCCUUGUCCAGGCCAAGGGGAUCACAGCCCGGGUGGGUGCGCUGUGGCUGGCACCUGGCACUGCCCACACCACUGCCACUUCUGAUGAUCUCAUUGCCUGAUUGGCCCCCAGGUGUCAGAGUCCUGUGCAGGAGAGGCCACUGUCCCGUCCUCUGUGAGGCCACGCCUGCACACAUGACAGGUGAGAGGGAUGUCAUUCGGCUUUGUGGUGGCCACUGCGGACUGAGUUCCAUCACUGGCCCACAAAAGGGAGUCUCUCCGGCUAGAAAAGGGGGUGCAUGGUGGCCGUGGGAUACUAAACAAAGGACACAUAAUAAAGGGAACAUUGAAUUUUCCUGUAUGGCAGCUGUUUAAAGUCAUUAGUUAAAAUAGACAACUCUGGAGAAAGAACUUUGGAAGGAAUACUUUAGAAUAAAUUCCCUAGAGCCCUUUUAUGUUGCAUUGUUUAGGAAAGAAAGGCAAGAAAGACGUCUGUGCAUGCUCGGUAGAGACGCAGCCACGUUAUGCCUAGCUGUACAGUACUCGUCAGCAUCUUCCAUCUGUGGUUGGUUGAACCUGCGGAUGCAGAACCUUCGGACCUGCAGCCUGCGCUGUGCUGACUCAGCUUCACUUCUGGGAAUGUGUGGCCCAGGUGUGCAUGUGAAGGCCAGGGGACGCGUGAAUUGUUUUCCAUGGGGGGCAGCCAUGGAGAGGGGUCCUCUUACGGUGCGCAGUGCACUGUUGCCAGAAGGCUGCUUAUCCUGGCAGCAGGGUCAAGCUUCACCGUCACUUGUGGCUCUGGUGUCUUUAUGCUGUCACUUUACUCCCCUGGCCCAGACAGCCACAGACCAUAAGGCAGGAGUCUGAACAGGUCACUGUUCUGCUCUUGGGCUGUCAGAGGCGG